rnacentral:sRNA from 1 species
UCCGAUAAAGAUGGCGGUGGUUCCACACAGCAGCAAGUUUUUCGUGAGAAAAACUUGUCGUUGAACGGCGUACAUGAAUGUACACUGUUCAACAGGC